rnacentral:rRNA from 1 species
UUUCCCUACGGGAGGCAGCAGUGAGGAAUAUUGGUCAAUGGCCGAGAGGCUGAACCAGCCAAGUCGCGUGAGGGAAGAAUGUCCUAUGGAUUGUAAACCUCUUUUGUCAGGGAGCAAAGUCACCCACGUGUGGGUGUUGGAGAGUACCUGAAGAAAAAGCAUCGGCUAACUCCGUGCCAGCAGCCGCGGUAAUACGGAGGAUGCGAGCGUUAUCCGGAUUUAUUGGGUUUAAAGGGUGCGCAGGCGGAGGUGCAAGUCAGCGGUCAAAUUGCGGGGCUCAACCCCGUACUGCCGUUGAAACUGCA